UAACCUGCCCAAGAGAUCGGGAUAACACCUGGAAACAGAUGCUAAUACCGGAUAACAACAGAUGAUGCCUAUCAACUGUUUAAAAGAUGGUUCUGCUAUCACUCUUGGAUGGACCUGCGGUGCAUUAGCUAGUUGGUAGGGUAACGGCCUACCAAGGCGAUGAUGCAUAGCCGAGUUGAGAGACUGAUCGGCCACAUUGGGACUGAGGCACGGCCCAAACUCCUACGGGAGGCAGCAGGG
rnacentral:rRNA from 1 species